rnacentral:tRNA from 1 species
GGGGGUAUAGCUCAGCUGGUAGAGCAUCUGGUUUGCACCCAGAAGGUCGCAGGUUCGACUCCUGUUGCCUCCACCA